rnacentral:tRNA from 1 species
UCCCUGGUGGCUCAGAUGGUAAAGCGUCUGCCUGCAAUGCAGGAGACCCAGGUUCGAUUCCUGGAUUGGGAA